rnacentral:rRNA from 1 species
AGCGAACGCUGGCGGCGUGCCUAACACAUGCAAGUCGAACGUGAAAGGGAGCAAUCCCAAGUAAAGUGGCGUACGGGUGAGUAACACGUAGGUAAUCUACCCCAGAAUCUGGAAUAACCGGCCGAAAGGCUGGCUAAUACUGGAUAGAGCGACGGAAUCCGUAAUUGGGUUUUUCGGGAAAGGGAGCCUGUAAAAAGGCCUUCGUUCUGGGAUGAGCCUGCGUCCCAUCAGCUAGUUGGUGAGGUAAAAGCUUACCAAGGCAAUGACGGGUAGCUGGUCGAGGAGGAGGGUCCGCCACCUGGGACAUGACACACGGCCAAGACCCCUACGGGAGGGAGCAGGGGGGAAGCUUGCGCAAGGGCGGAAAGUCUGACGCAGCACCGCCGCGUGAGUAAAGAGGCCUUCCGUUUUUAAAGCCUCGGUCGAGGGGGACAAAAAUGUUUGGGGUCCACAGCUCCAGGACCGGACGGUCCCAAAAAAGGAAGCCCCGGCUAACUCCGUG